UCUCCUGGCAUCUCGCCCCACAGCCACCUGCACCCCCCGCAGCUCCUGGCCAGCCCGGAUGGGGACACAGCAGGUUGGGGACACAGCGGUCCCCUACCCACAGCCCCCCCCCACCCCGCACGGUGAGACUUGGGGGAGUUUUUGGGGUGGGGGGCACAGCCCCACAGCCCUGCUGUCCCCGAUUGUCCCCGCGUGAGUCCCCACAGGCCCCCUUGUCCCCAGGGAACCCCACCUGUCCCUGCGCACCCCAGGGUGCCACUUGUCCCACUUGUCCCAGGGUCCCCACUCCCCCCUGGGGUCCCCGCUCCCCCUUUGGGGUCCCUGCUCCCCCCACAGGCACUGCACCACCCAAGGGUCCCCUCCCCGUGCACCCUAAGGUGCUGGUCACCCCUGUGUCCUUGCUUUCCCCCCAGGGCCCCCAAGUCCCUGCGUGAGGGCUCCCCCCAGGGUCCCCACUUUCCCCAGUGUCCCCCAUUUGGGUGCUGGGCUCCCCCCAGGGUGCUGAGCUCACCCCAAAUCCCCACUUGCCCUAGGGUCCCCAAGGUGCUGCAUCACCCCAGGGUCCCUACUUGUCACCAGGUCCCCGCUCACCCCCCCAAGUCCCCACCCCACCAGGGCCCCCCCCCCGGUGCCACGGGGACCUCCCUUACCCCCGGAGUCCCCACACACCCCAAGUCCCCUCCACUGCCCCGCAGCGCUGGGUCACCCGGGGGUCUCCGCUCCCCACCGAGCCCUCGCUUGUCCCCACUGCCACCGCGCGCCCUUGGGGUCCCCAAACACCCUUGGGGUCCCCAAACACCCCUGGGGUCCCUGCGCCACGGGGGUGCGCGGUGCCAUGGGGUGCGCGGUGCCAUGGGGAUCCCCAACGGUGCGCGGGGUACCCGGUGCCAAGGGGUGCCCGGGGGUGCCCGGGGGGGGGGUGCCAGCUACCCGGGGGUGCCCCCCCAGCAGGGGCUCACCUUGAUCUUGUGCAGGGAGCGCUCGGGCUCCAGCAGCUGCACCCAGACGGCCACCCCCGCCUUGCUGUAGCUCAGGCUCCAUCCCCGCUCGCACUCGCACUCCUCCCGGAACGCGCGGAAAUCGCGAUCGUCGGGGAUCUGCACGCUAUCGCGGCCCGACAUGGCCCCGCACCGGCUUUAGGGGGGGGGGUCGGGGGUCGCCGGUGCCGGUGCCGGGGGCUCGCGGCGGCCCCUA
rnacentral:lncRNA from 1 species